UCUGGUACAUUUGGCGGUUCUGACAUGUAUGCAUGUGUUCAUCCUCCUCAUCUUCUGAUUCUAUAAGAACCCAUGGCACUAAAGUAAGUUGCUUGGUCUUCUCCUUGAAUCUGUCAAAAAAUCUUGAUUGAGUCUCAUCAAGUGACUUAAGCUGAAAGGGAAGAAGAAAAAGAUGGUGGAGUUGAGCUUCAAUGGUGUAUUAGAUUUGGUGUUUGCUGGGGUGUCCAUGAUGAUUGGUUUGUGGUUUUUGGCUGUCAUUGCUGCUGUUCUAUGUUCUGCAGCUUUCGUGCAAAACUCCAAGGAUGUUUCUUGAAAUAUUUCUCAAGUGGCAUAACCAUACAACUGUUUGAAAUAUUGUAUUGCUUUUCUCAUAAUAAUUCCAAGACAUGAGCAUAAAUAAUGUUGAAGUUCUGAACUACAAUUGGAAAAUGUUAUAA